rnacentral:rRNA from 1 species
UACGUAGGGUGCGAGCGUUGUCCGGAAUUAUUGGGCGUAAAGAGCUCGUAGGCGGUCUGUCGCGUCGGUCGUGAAAACUUGGGGCUUAACCCUGAGCUUGCGGUCGAUACGGGCAUGACUGGAGUUCGGUAGGGGAGACUGGAAUUCCUGGUGUAGCGGUGAAAUGCGCAGAUAUCAGGAGGAACACCGAUGGCGAAGGCAGGUCUCUGGGCCGAUACUGACGCUGAGGAGCGAAAGCGUGGGGAGCGAACAGG